rnacentral:rRNA from 1 species
GACGAACGCUGGCGGCGUGCUUAACACAUGCAAGUCGAACGGAAAGGCCCUGCUUUUGUGGGGUGCUCGAGUGGCGAACGGGUGAGUAACACGUGAGUAACCUGCCCUUGACUUUGGGAUAACUUCAGGAAACUGGGGCUAAUACCGGAUAGGAGCUCCUGCUGCAUGGUGGGGGUUGGAAAGUUUCGGCGGUUGGGGAUGGACUCGCGGCUUAUCAGCUUGUUGGUGGGGUAGUGGCUUACCAAGGCUUUGACGGGUAGCCGGCCUGAGAGGGUGACCGGCCACAUUGGGACUGAGAUACGGCCCAGACUCCUACGGGAGGCAGCAGUGGGGAAUAUUGCACAAUGGGCGGAAGCCUGAUGCAGCAACGCCGCGUGCGGGAUGACGGCCUUCGGGUUGUAAACCGCUUUCGCCUGUGACGAAGCGUGAGUGACGGUAAUGGGUAAAGAAGCACCGGCUAACUACGUGCCAGCAGCCGCGGUGAUACGUAGGGUGCGAGCGUUGUCCGGAUUUAUUGGGCGUAAAGGGCUCGUAGGUGGUUGAUCGCGUCGGAAGUGUAAUCUUGGGGCUUAACCCUGAGCGUGCUUUCGAUACGGGUUGACUUGAUGAAGGUAGGGGAGAAUGGAAUUCCUGGUGGAGCGGUGGAAUGCGCAGAUAUCAGGAGGAACACCAGUGGCGAAGGCGGUUCUCUGGGCCUUUCCUGACGCUGAGGAGCGAAAGCGUGGGGAGCGAACAGGCUUAGAUACCCUGGUAGUCCACGCUGUAAACGGUGGGUACUAGGUGUGGGGUCCAUUCCACGGGUUCCGUGCCGUAGCUAACGCUUUAAGUACCCCGCCUGGGGAGUACGGCCGCAAGGCUAAAACUCAAAGGAAUUGACGGGGCCCCGCACAAGCGGCGGAGCAUGCGGAUUAAUUCGAUGCAACGCGUAGAACCUUACCUGGGUUUGACAUGGAUCGGGAGUGCUCAGAGAUGGGUGUGCCUCUUUUGGGGUCGGUUCACAGGUGGUGCAUGCCUGUCGUCAGCUCGUGUCGUGAGAUGUUGGGUUAAGUCCCGCAACGAGCGCAACCCUUGUUCACUGUUGCCAGCACGUUAUGGUGGGGACUCAGUGGAGACCGCCGGGGUCAACUCGGAGGAAGGUGGGGAUGACGUCAAGUCAUCAUGCCCCUUAUGUCCAGGGCUUCACGCAUGCUACAAUGGCUGGUACAGAGAGUGGCGAGCCUGUGAGGGUGAGCGAAUCUCGGAAAGCCGGUCUCAGUUCGGAUUGGGGUCUGCAACUCGACCUCAUGAAGUCGGAGCCGCUAGUAAUCGCAGAUCAGCAACGCUGCGGUGAAUACGUUCCCGGGGC